rnacentral:rRNA from 1 species
UAGAGGUCCGCCUGCCUGUGACUAUAUGUUCAACGGCCGCGGUAUUUUGACCGUGCGAAGGUAGCGUAAUCACUUGUCUUUUAAAUGAGGACCUGUAUGAAUGGCACAACGAGGGCUCAACUGUCUCCUUUUUCCAGUCAAUGAAAUUGAUCUUCCCGUGCAGAAGCGAGAAUACCAACAUAAGACGAGAAGACCCUAUGGAGCUUUAGAUAAUAAGGCAGACUGUGUUAAACACCCUUAUAAAAAAGACUAAACUAGCUGAACACUGCCCGAAUGUCCUUGGUUGGGGCGACCGCGGCGAAACAAAAAACCCCCGUGUGGAAAGAGGGAACAUACCCUCCAAAUCAAGAGCUCCCACUCUAAUAAACAGAAUAUCUGACCUAUAAGAUCCGGCAAUGCCGAUUAACGGACCAAGUUACCCUAGGGAUAACAGCGCAAUCCCCUUCCAGAGUUCAUAUCGACAAGGGGGUUUACGACCUCGAUGUUGGAUCAGGACAUCCUAAUGGUGCAGCCGCUAUUAAGGGUUCGUUUGUUCAACGAUUAAAGUCCUACGUGAUCUG